rnacentral:tRNA from 1 species
GGGCGGGUGGCGGAACCGGCAGACGCACUGGCUUUAGGAGCCAGCGAUCGCAAGAUCAUGGGAGUUCAAAUCUCCCCCCGCCCA